rnacentral:rRNA from 1 species
UACGUAGGGUGCGAGCGUUGUUCGGAAUCACUGGGCGUAAAGGGAGCGUAGGCGGAACUGUAAGUUAGAAGUUUAAUACAUGGGCUCGACCCGUGGUCUGCUUUUAAUACUGCGGUUCUUGAGUAUGGGAGAGGGCGAUGGAAUUCCAGGUGUAGCGGUGGAAUGCGUAGAUAUCUGGAAGAACACCAGUAGCGAAGGCGGUCGCCUGGCCCAAUACUGACGCUGAGGCUCGAAAGCUGGGGGAGCAAACAGGAUUAGAUACCCCGGUAGUCCCU